CUUUUGUAUAAUGGGUCAGCGACUUAUAUUCUGUAGCAAGGUUAACCGAAUAGGGGAGCCGAAGGGAAACCGAGUCUUAACUGGGCGUUAAGUUGCAGGGUAUAGACCCGAAACCCGGUGAUCUAGCCAUGGGCAGGUUGAAGGUUGGGUAACACUAACUGGAGGACCGAACCGACUAAUGUUGAAAAAUUAGCGGAUGACUUGUGGCUGGGGGUGAAAGGCCAAUCAAACCGGGAGAUAGCUGGUUCUCCCCGAAAGCUAUUUAGGUAGCGCCUCGUGAAUUCAUCUCCGGGGGUAGAGCACUGUUUCGGCAAGGGGGUCAUCCCGACUUACCAACCCGAUGCAAACUGCGAAUACCGGAGAAUGUUAUCACGGGAGACACACGGCGGGUGCUAACGUCCGUCGUGAAGAGGGAAACAACCCAGACCGCCAGCUAAGGUCCCAAAGUCAUGGUUAAGUGGGAAACGAUGUGGGAAGGCCCAGACAGCCAGGAUGUUGGCUUAGAAGCAGCCAUCAUUUAAAGAAAGCGUAAUAGCUCACUGGUCGAGUCGGCCUGCGCGGAAGAUGUAACGGGGCUAAACCAUGCACCGAAGCUGCGGCAGCGACGCUGAUGCGUUGUUGGGUAGGGGAGCGUUCUGUAAGCCUGCGAAGGUGUGCUGUGAGGCAUGCUGGAGGUAUCAGAAGUGCGAAUGCUGACAUAAGUAACGAUAAAGCGGGUGAAAAGCCCGCUCGCCGGAAGACCAAGGGUUCCUG
rnacentral:rRNA from 1 species